CAUUGAUUACGUCCCUGCCCUUUGUACACACCGCCCGUCGCUACUAUCGAUUGGAUGAUUUGGUGAGACCUUCGGACUGGUCGGUGAAGCGGCUCUCGUGGUCGCAUCGCUGUGCUGGGAAGAUGUUCAAACCUGACCAUCUAGAGAAAGUAAAAGUCGUAACAAGGUUUCCGUAGGUGAACC
rfam:Albugo candida, Ac Nc2, WGS project CAIX01000000 data, contig: AcNc2_CONTIG_3858_length_183